rnacentral:lncRNA from 1 species
AUUAAGGAUUGCUGCUCAUCCGGUGAGCUGCUGGAUUUCGGUAAUAGAAGUCGGACAUUUUAUUUUCAAUAAAGCUCUAAUCUUUUUAGAAUCUGUUCCUCUUUGAUUAUUGAAAAAGUCAAGAAACUUAUUUGAGCCAACUCCGAAAGUAUAUUUGUUGGGAUUGAGCUUCAUCUGGUGCUUUCUAAGUUCUCCAAAUACUUUCUUC